ensembl:lncRNA
AACACAUUGAAUUAUAAGUGAAAUAUAAAUAUAAGUCUUUAUUCAAUUACAUUACAUUCCAAAUUAAACCAAAAUAAUAGACCAAGAGAUCAACAACAAAGCAAAGAUUAAGAUUCCCAUCCAUCUACUAAUGUAGCAAGAUAAUACAAUUAUUUCUACUGCACAAUAUUUGUUGAUCUUUUCAGAUUUAUUUUGGUGCUCUAUGAUAGAGUGAGAUAGACAGGAGUUAUGGGCGAGAGAGGGGAGGACAUGCAGCAAAGGACCGCGGGUAGGAAUCGACCCGGGGCGCUGCGGGGAGGACUGGCCCCUAAAUGUUACGCGCUCUAACCGGUGAGCCCCACUGCGCAGUUUUACACAUCUUUAUCGUGAAUAUUUUCAUUGACUGGAACAUUUCUGCCACUGUCUUCGCAAUAUUUUUCCAUGAAUAAAUAUGGGCUGUGAUAUUUGUUGUCUGUAGAUCAGGUUUCAGACUCAAAUGGAGACUCAAACUCAGGUUGAGGAGGUUAAACCAAAAUGAUCUUAAUCUCUGCAGAUCUAUCAGAAAUAAUGAUUGCCAGCAAACAAAAGUUUAAUCAUUAACUAGGACACUUACUAGACUUGCUUAGCUACAGGACGGGACCUUCAGACAAACGGAUAACAAACGGAGGGCUUAACAACACAUGAGGACACAAUUAACAAAUCAACAAAUCAAACCAGGAGGAAGUAAUUCUAGAUAACGAUGGGAAGGAAAAGAAUAACUGAGGACAUCUGGAGGAAGAAACUAAAACGACACAAAGACAAACAACCGUUGAAACUGUGACAGGUUGGUAGUAUAAAUAUCAUGGGCAGCCAUUUCCUGCAUCCCCUGGUAUUAAUAAUAAAGAAACACUAACUUUAUCAUGUUUUGAUACUCUUUUAAUUACCUUAAAUUACCUAAAUUAGAAUAAACUACACCCGAACUACAAAGAAUUCCUUCACAACCACAAUAAAGUCAAUAAGGUGCUCCUUCAGAACUAAAAUUAAAUAAUCCAUAAUUACAAUAAACGACUUCACAAUAAACUCAUUCAGAAUCAUAAAAUGGUGCUCCUUCAGAAAUAUACAAAUAUUUAGUACUACAGUAAACCUACCUUAAUCUUUCAGAACUACUAAGACAAUC